UAGGGAAUCUUCCACAAUGGACGAAAGUCUGAUGGAGCAACGCCGCGUGAGUGAAGAAGGUUUUCGGAUCGUAAAGCUCUGUUGUUGGUGAAGAAGGAUAGAGGUAGUAACUGGCCUUUAUUUGACGGUAAUCAACCAGAAAGUCACGGCUAACUACGUGCCAGCAGCCGCGGUAAUACGUAGGUGGCAAGCGUUGUCCGGAUUUAUUGGGCGUAAAGCGAGCGCAGGCGGAAGAAUAAGUCUGAUGUGAAAGCCCUCGGCUUAACCGAGGAACUGCAUCGGAAACUGUUUUUCUUGAGUGCAGAAGAGGAGAGUGGAACUCCAUGUGUAGCGGUGGAAUGCGUAGAUAUAUGGAAGAACACCAGUGGCGAAGGCGGCUCUCUGGUCUGCAACUGACGCUGAGGCUCGAAAGCAUGGGUAGCGAACAG
rnacentral:rRNA from 1 species